GGUAAACAAGAUCGGAAAAGGAACUGCAGAACCUAGAACGAGAAAGUUAACCAGGGAGAGACCAGAAAGGUGAAAGUUCAAGGUAGGUUAGCUAGCAUUAAACCAAACUUGACCACCGAGGAUAAAAGAGAUCUUAUCCAAGGAUGCAAGAGGUAAUCUCACUUUUGACACCUACUGAUCUCGAUAGAAAAAA
rnacentral:ncRNA from 1 species